CAGAGUCGACAUCUGAGAUAUAUGAGGCCUUGGAAUUGAGGAAUGGUGGAUCUGAUAAUUUUGGCAAGGGUGUUCUUAAGAUAUUGCUAAAGGAGGUGCUCGCAGGGAGGAGGACCUCAACGUGGUGGGCAUACUUUGCAGAUUGCGAACUGAACUUAAAUCAAAUACUUCAGUAUUGGUCUCUAGAGAGGAAGCUCUGCCAACCAUUACUAAUAACUGAGAAGGAUUUGGCAAUCGCUUAUCUUUGACUCAAUACCUUAUGACCUCGGAAAGGUUUGAACCCGUCAGGGACUAAAGAUGCCAAAGGUUGAAGAAGGGUCACGAGCAAAGAGGGCAUUUACUAUCCUUUGCAAUCUUCACCGUUGGAAGGAUUAUGAUAACUGCAAUUUCAUUUCUUCUUGGAUAUGAGCUCCACAAGAGGAUGAGACCCCUCUCUUCUCCAUAUGUAUAGGUAGCUCU